GGCGGACGGGUGAGUAAUGCAUAGGAAAUUGCCUUGAAGUGGGGGAUAGCCCGGAGAAAUCCGGAUUAAUACCGCAUGCGCUCUACGGAGCAAAGCGGGCCUCUUCUUGAAAGCUCGCGCUUUGAGAUAUGCCUAUGUCGGAUUAGCUUGUUGGUAGGGUAAAAGCCUACCAAGGCGACGAUCCGUAGCUGGUUUGAGAGGAUGAUCAGCCACACUGGGACUGAGACACGGCCCAGACUCCUACGGGAGGCAGCAGUGGGGAAUAUUGGACAAUGGGCGCAAGCCUGAUCCAGCAAUGCCGCGUGUGUGAAGAAGGCCUGCGGGUUGUAAAGCACUUUUAUUGGGAAAGAAAAACUCGGGGUUAAUACCCCAUGGGUCUUGACGGUACCCAAAGAAUAAGCACCGGCUAACU
rnacentral:rRNA from 1 species